rnacentral:rRNA from 1 species
GAUGAACGCUAGCGGCAGGCCUAAUACAUGCAAGUCGGACGGGAUUUGGGAGCUUGCUCCUAAUGAGAGUGGCGCACGGGUGCGUAACACGUAUGUAACCUACCUUAAUCAGGGGGAUAGCCUCUCGAAAGAGAGAUUAACACCGCAUAACAUAUUUUUAUGGCAUCGUAGAAAUAUCAAAUAUUUAUAGGAUUAAGAUGGGCAUGCGGAACAUUAGCUAGUUGGUAAGGUAACGGCUUACCAAGGCUACGAUGUUUAGGGGAUCUGAGAGGAUGACCCCCCACACUGGUACUGAGACACGGACCAGACUCCUACGGGAGGCAGCAGUAAGGAAUAUUGGUCAAUGGGCGCAAGCCUGAACCAGCCAUGCCGCGUGCAGGAAGACGGCCCUAUGGGUUGUAAACUGCUUUUGCACCGGAAUAAACCCUUUUACGUGUAGAAGGCUGAAUGUACGGUAAGAAUAAGGAUCGGCUAACUCCGUGCCAGCCGCCGCCGUAAUAC